CCUACGGGUGGCAUCAGUGGGGAAUAUUGGACAAUGGGCGAAAGCCUGAUCCAGCCAUGCCGCGUGUGUGAAGAAGGCCUUCGGGUUGUAAAGCACUUUCAGUGGGGAAGAAAGCCUUGGGGCUAAUACCCUCGAGGAAGGACAUCACCCACAGAAGAAGCACCGGCUAACUCCGUGCCAGCAGCCGCGGUAAUACGGAGGGUGCGAGCGUUAAUCGGAAUUACUGGGCGUAAAGCGCGCGUAGGCGGUCUGAUAAGCCGGUUGUGAAAGCCCCGGGCUCAACCUGGGAACGGCAUCCGGAGCUGUCAGGCUAGAGUGCAGGAGAGGAAGGUAGAAUUCCCGGUGUAGCGGUGAAAUGCGUAGAGAGCGGGAGGAAUACCAGUGGCGAAGGCGGCCUUCUGGACUGACACUGACGCUGAGGUGCGAAAGCGUGGGUAGCAAACAGGAUUAGAUACCCGAGUAGUC
rnacentral:rRNA from 1 species